rnacentral:rRNA from 1 species
UGGGGAAUAUUGCACAAUGGGCGCAAGCCUGAUGCAGCCAUGCCGCGUGUAUGAAGAAGGCCUUCGGGUUGUAAAGUACUUUCAGUCGGGAGGAAGGUGGUAAGGUUAAUAACCUUAUCAAUUGACGUUACCGACAGAAGAAGCACCGGCUAACUCCGUGCCAGCAGCCGCGGUAAUACGGAGGGUGCAAGCGUUAAUCGGAAUUACUGGGCGUAAAGCGCAUGCAGGCGGUUGAUUGAGUCAGAUGUGAAAUCCCCGGGCUUAACCCGGGAAUUGCAUCUGAUACUGGUCAGCUAGAGUCUUGUAGAGGGGGGUAGAAUUCCAUGUGUAGCGGUGAAAUGCGUAGAGAUGUGGAGGAAUACCGGUGGCGAAGGCGGCCCCCUGGACAAAGACUGACGCUCAGGUGCGAAAGCGUGGGGAGCAAACAGG